GGCCUUCGGGUUGUAAAGCUCUUUCGGCGGGGACGAUGAUGACGGGACCCGCAGAAGAAGCCCCGGCUAACUUCGUGCCAAGCAGCCGCGGUAAUA
rnacentral:rRNA from 1 species